rnacentral:misc_RNA from 1 species
UGCCCUUUCUGUUAGGCGCCCUCACCGUUAUUAUGAUCCGGAGAAGUCGGCCGACAAACGAGGAUUGAUGUCUCGUGCGCAUUCGAGUGCUUCCAUCGACAGAAAAGGGGAAGAAAGAGUCCCCGCGACGUCCCUUUUGUGAGUUCUAAGAACUCGUGCCGCGUGCAAGUGCAUCGGUGAGCCUGUGGAAGAGCUGAUUAUCGUCUCUUCGUCAGCUCGUGCGCUGCGAGACACGUCGGCGUCUUCAGGCAACGGCAAAAGGCGCGCGCGCGUGCUCGAGGCGUGUAGCGCACACCAUGCGUCGUCCCCUAACAAGUGCUCCCUGCGUAUUACUUUGCUGUGGCUAGCAAUUGCUUCGUCAGUAUGCACCUACCAUCGCUGAUGGGGCUGUUAUUCCACUUGAAGGUACCAUCCGCUCAGAAGGGUGCGAACGGCCUGCGUCGUUGGGGGCGACAGGCUGACGUGCGCACUGCUUCGGCCACCUUCGUGUUUUGCAGCGAACUAUCCGUUAGCUCGUGUGCUACCAUCCCCUGUAGACAUGGGUCAUGCCCCGUCACAGAGAAAGCCGCUUGCCUGCGCGGCUCUCUCUCUGCCACUGCUCAGAGGAGCAGAAGCAUCACAUGUCUGGCUGGACGGAGCAGCUUUCCUUCGCUGGCGGUUGUGUCCAGUGCCCGUUGCAUGACCUCAUCCUCAGACGAGAAUGGCACUUGCACGUCAGCGCUUCGGCGGGAGUGGUACCGACGCCAACUGGACGCGCAGACUCUGUGCCCGGUGGAUGUGAUGCCGCUGGCACAGCGGAAGGAGUGGCGUCCGAGGCCGACGGUGCCGAUGGAGCAUGGCAGCACUCUCAGCACAGGCUGCCGACAUGCCGCCAUUGCGGACGUGUUUUUCAGCUGCUGCGCGUCGCCUCUCUGCCAGGAGUCAGCGCUGCUUUCUAUCUUCAAGCAGCUCAGUGCCGAUCAACAGUGCGAUAUUCUCUGUAUGAUUCUGACGAGUGCAACAUCUUUUUCAAAGCCGCAGCUUGCCAGCUUUGUGGAGGAGGCCCUCCGCAACGAUUCGUUUUCGCCGGUGCAUUGGGUUCGUCUUGCCACAAGUCUAUCAGGAAUCAGUCAUGUGCCAUUGCUGCCUUGGGUGCGUAUCACAGAGCGUGUGCUGUGUUCCUCCGCAGCCCCCUUCUCGUCUCGCGAUGACGCCUGCAUGUUCAUUGCGCGCGUGCUGGGCUGGAUGGAGGAUCAGGGCGUUCCGGGGGGCACGAUCGCGCAAUGCCUUGAGAAGUGCGGUCUUUUCUAUGAAGCGUGCGCGUACGCUUCAUCGCCGUCAAACUUUGUCCCACCGCCGACGCGGCUGGUGCCGGACGGAGGGUGGGGGUACGGUGACGUAAUACACUGUAUGUGCGCGCUGCCUGAGCCACCAAUGCAGUGGUUUUCUGCAACACGCAGCGGCAUGCCUCCUGCUCUGCGUCGCUACUCGACGCUUGUGUUGCUACGAUCGGUUGUGCAGAAAUGGGGUGUGACGGACAACGGCCACAACGACCGCUGGAGGAGUUUUGCUGAAGCGUACAUGACGACGCUGGAGGCGGCCAGCGCCGUGCACUUCCUUUUCGGUGAAGGAAACGUUGUCACUGCGCGCCUCCUUCUGCCUCACUGUCACACUCAGCAACAAAUCGCCACGCUGAUCCGCUACACAUGUCGCGUUGACAUAGCCCUGGCCCUCGCGGGUUUGACGCGUUCCGCGGAGCUGCGCACGGCACACCGUAGUCUCGCGCACGUCCACCUAACGCACCGCAGGACGCGGCGAAAUUCGCACUGGCUCUUCUGGGCGCAGGCGGAGCGCUCUAGUGCUGCGCUUUCGAGCUGUGACGUGCCAGACGGCACCGCAGUAGCGCUCUUUUCACCAACGCUCUCCUUCGGCAUCCAUGAUCGCGGCGUGCUGCGCCGGUGCCUGCGUGAGGCCCUCCCCGCUGGUGCGCUUGCCAAGGAUGACCGCUCUCUCGCACAGCUGUUUUCCGCGAUCCCCGUGUCUGCCGUCGAGCACGCUGUGAGUUUGCUGGGAACUGUGGAGAGCGACGCCCUCUCCUGGUGGGCGUCACUCUACACAAAGGCCGGCAACUUCGAAGGUGCAUUCGCGGUACUGGAGGCGACGGCAGCAGGUGGGUGUCUGCCACACAUGGGUGUGCUUGUAAUGCUACUUGAGGCAGUGCGUGACGAUUGCCAGAACUUUCUGCGGGCCGUUACGCUACUGCGCUCCUCGUUCUCACAAGUGUCGGAAACUGUGCUACGUGCGUUUGUUGAACGGACAGCUGCGGGCAUCACCCAUACCACGCCCCUCGCGCUUUCCACGAGGCAAGCGAUGCAGGCGUUCAGUACAUUGGACCUGAUGAGCGCGGCGCACCGUCCUGCUACUACUAAUCCCGACACCACCACCGCCGAUGAAGCGUCAAGCACAACAGCAGCCCUGCCCGCAUUUGCUGAGAUGGCAGAUAGUUUGAAGAUACCAAUACCGCUGCACGUUGGUGCGAUAGAGGGCCUUAUUGCAGCGAGCUUGAAGCUUGACUACGAUGUUUCGUUGACAGUGGACGUGGUGUCUGCCAGUGGCGAGUGUUGUUGGUCGUGGACAUCAACACCUGAGUGAGACAGCGACUCGUCGUAGGGGGCCUGCGCGCAGCUGAGCCUUACCGCAAUCUGUCAAUCGUUCGCGUCGCUUUUUGUUUGUGCGCGUGCGUGCCUUCCGAGUGCCUGUCUGCUGGUGCGUGUCACGCACAGCUUCCUUGAUGUUUGUUUCCGUAGUGAGGUGCAUCUCAGCACUCCGCACCUUUCCCGCAUUCGAAGGAGAACACCAAAAAAAGUCGACUGUCGGCCAGCAUACAUGCGAGAGCCCCACAAAAUAAAACGUUUUUGUGUCUUCAGUGGAGACUGGUGGCUCGCGAAGCUCGCUCUGGGGACGUGCUCGACCCCGCACCCCCCUCUCUCCCACUGACAUGCACAGUGAACUUUCUUUCAGCUGUGUUGACACUUUUGGGUGCUCACCUGUCGCCUCUUUUUCUCGCUUCUCUUUUUGGUUUCUCUUUUUUUGCGCUUGGCAAGCCGAUUGUGACGCGAAAACGUCGCUUAUCGUCAUUCCUCGCUAACGGCGUCUCCCAG